AUUGAACGCUGGCGGCAUGCUUUACACAUGCAAGUCGAACGGUAACAGGGAGCUUGCUCCGCUGACGAGUGGCGAACGGGUGAGUAAUGUAUCGGAACGUACCCAAGAGUGGGGGAUAACGUAGCGAAAGUUACGCUAUACCGCAUACGAUCCAAGGAUGAAAGUGGGGGACCGCAAGGCCUCAUGCUCCUGGAGCGGCC
rnacentral:rRNA from 1 species